rnacentral:rRNA from 1 species
UACGUAGGGUGCAAGCGUUGUCCGGAAUUAUUGGGCGUAAAGAGCUUGUAGGCGGUUUGUCGCGUCUGUUGUGAAAUUUCGGGGCUCAACCCCGAACUUGCAGUGGGUACGGGCAGACUAGAGUGUGGUAGGGGAGACUGGAAUUCCUGGUGUAGCGGUGAAAUGCGCAGAUAUCAGGAGGAACACCGAUGGCGAAGGCAGGUCUCUGGGCCACUACUGACGCUGAGAAGCGAAAGCAUGGGGAGCGAACAGG